UACGGAGGAUGCGAGCGUUAUCCGGAUUUAUUGGGUUUAAAGGGUGCGUAGGCGGAUCGUUAAGUCAGUGGUCAAAUUGAGGGGCUCAACCCCUUCCCGCCAUUGAAACUGGCGCUCUUGAGUGGAAGAGAAGUAUGCGGAAUGCGUGGUGUAGCGGUGAAAUGCAUAGAUAUCACGCAGAACCCCGAUUGCGAGGGCAGCAUGCCGGCUUCCGUCUGACGCUGAAGCACGAAAGCGUGGGGAUCGAACAGG
rnacentral:rRNA from 1 species